rnacentral:tRNA from 1 species
CGGCAAGCUGGGCGACGGUGGCCGCGCGGCGCUGCGCCGCGGGACGGUGGGCGUUGUGUUCCAGCAGUUCAACCUGAUCCCGUCGC